AAAAAAUAUGUUUGAGCCAGCCCUGCAGUGAGCGGCCACGGCCUCUCCCCCGCUUCCCACCAUCGCGUCCCAAUUCUCCUCCCUGCCCUGCCGCCGCCGCCUGCUCCUUCCACGCCGCCGCCCUCACGCUCUCCCGACGCGCCGCCUCCCCGCCCAGCCAUCCACCCAAGCAUAUCCCCUGCGGCGCGCCCCCUUGGACUCCCGCGACAGCAUGGCGGAGUGACCACGGCGAAUCAGGGGUGCGAAUCCGGACCCCGAUCUGGAUCGAUAGAUCGAUCAAAUCCGGUGGCAAUGGGUAAGGCAUGGUAGCGAGGAGGCAUGAAGAGCGCUGGAAAUCCGACCCUUUGUCGAACAAAGUGGAGAAAAGUAGCCUAUGGGGGCAUGCAGCCAGGCUACGAUGAUAACUACACCGACGACUCCUUCCUGGAGGAGAUGGUCAUGAACGCCAAUGUCGUCAAGAGGGACUUCCUGAGGGUGAUGGUCGACUCUGUCUCCAUCUCCCAGUAUCUCUGCAUCGUCGCCCUUGUAGUUUCGACAUGGACACAUACGCUGAAUUUGGCCAUCGACGAAAUCACUCUCCUGAAAUUCGACAUUGGUCUGCUGCUUGUUGGGUUCUUGGUCCUCCUGCUCACCACCAGCCCAUUCUCGCUGAAUCUACUCUUGAAGUAUGUCCUCAACAUAUCAUUCUUCACCAGUGGCCUUUAUGUUCUGGCGCCAAUUUGCCAUACCCUUACCAGGUCCAUCAGUUCAGAUUCGAUCUGGGCACUUGCUGUGUUCCUUCUGCUGGUUCAUCUCUUCUUGCAUGACUACUCUGGCUCCACUAUAAGGCCUCCAGGUGCACUCAACAACCCAAAGCUGACCAGCAACAUCUCCUUGAACGCGUCGAUAGUGGCGUCUGUUCUUGUGGCGUCGCGUCUGCCAUCUUGGCUGCACGUCUUUGCAAUCAUGCUCUUCUCAUUGCAGGUCUUCCUGUUUGCGCCGCUGGUCACAUUUUGUAUCAAGAAGUACUCCUGUAGACUCCAUUUGAUGUUCUCCUUUGCUCUCAUGGUCAUGACCCUGGGCGUCACGUACCAGCUGCAUCGAAUGCUCUUCAUUUUGCUGCUGGCUCUCGUCGUUUUCAUCUCGCUUGUCUGCCCCUACUGGCUUAUCAGGAUUCAGGAGUACAAGUUUGAGAUCAAUGGCCCCUGGGAUGAAGCUAAACUCUGCUUUGAUAUAACUGAAUGAAUAGCAGCACUGGGCUUAAUCAGGAAGUUACAUGUGCACAAGAUUGAUCUCACUGUAUGUAUCUAUGACUGAUGUACUGCUAGUCUCUUUUGCAAGUUUCCAUGUGUAUGUACAUACUCUUGACUUGUUAACUUGUUUUGCUACUGUGGCUCUAAAUGCUUGGCAAAGUCUUGUGUUCUGCACUCUGGUCUGGUGAUGUAUUUUCUCGAGGCAUUCAAGGCCCCAAAUUCAGUGUUGAAAUAUAUAGUGAAACAUGAUUCUGUAAUCUUUGAUCAAGUCAAGGGGGUGUCUUGCUCAUUCUAG
rnacentral:rRNA from 1 species